CUCUUUUAAAUUUCUCUUCUCUUCUCAUCUUUUUCCCUUUCUUUGAUUUUUUGAAGUUAGAUUUUAGAGUGAAAUGAAACGAAAUACAUAACUUUGAUUUACAACUAUCGUCUCAACUAGUCGAAGAGGUUGACUGUAAGUGGUAAAAAUGAAACUGGAGGGUUUCUUGAUCUUUUAAUAUUUGAAACUUAGAAUUCUCGAAAAAAAAAAUUUUUGAAAUUAAAGAUUUAACUUGACAAAAAUAAAGUUAAAUAACUUAAAUAAAUUUCAGUCAAAUGUAAAGAGUACAUUUGUUUUCUUUAUUAUCUCCCUUAAUCUUGUUAUUUAUCAUUUAUUUAACUACGGAAGUUCCCAAAAAGACAUUUUUGUUGGGAUUCGGUGUUGGGUAUAUACAAGUCAUUUGCUUAUCUUUGUAGGCCUUAACUUUAAAGAUAUUGGUUCAGAAAUCAAAAAGAAAAGACAUUGGAUUCGAACAUUUUGAGUUUCAGAAAAGCAUGAAAAUCAUCGUACUUUUGGGGGUUUUCGUCCUCGGUUGCUACCUCUUUGCCAGAUGGUGCCGGCGGCGCGAUGUUGAAGUUGCCACACAACUGCCACCUUCAACCUCCAGUCAUAAAAAAGAGACUCCAAUGACUUCCACUUCUUCUUCUACUCACCGGUGGGAGUAUAAUGUCUUCUUGAGCUUUAGAGGUGAAGAUACCCGCCGCAGUUUUACAGACCAUUUAUAUAAUGCUUUGUGUGACAAAGGCAUUUACACCUUCAUGGACUAUAAACUUCAGAGGGGAGAAAUAAUUUCAGAGGAACUUCUCAAAACCAUCAAAAGGUCAAUGAUCUCGGUUGUUGUGUUUUCUGAAAAUUAUGCAUCUUCCAAAUGGUGUUUAGAUGAACUUGUUUGGAUUCUUGACUGUAAGAAAAAUCUUGGCCAAGUGGUUUUACCAGUUUUUUAUAGAAUAGAUCCAUCAGAAGUACGUAAGCAAAAGGGAAAGUUGGGGAUACAAUUGGCUGAACAUGAAAAAAAUUUGAAGAUUGAGAAAGGCAAGGUGCAGAUUUGGAGGGCAGCUCUAGAAGAAGUUGGCAAUUUGUCUGGAUUCCAUUACAAUAAUGAUUGUCCUGAAUCUAAAAUUAUCCAGGGACUUAUAGAACAGAUAUCAAAUGCAACAUUAAACCGCACACGAUUAUUCGUUGCUAAAUACCCAAUUGGAGUAGAUUCUCAUGCAACAAAAAUAGAAGAGCGUUUAAAUAUUGAGUCAAAUGAUAUUCGAAUGGUGGCAAUCCAUGGCCUUGGGGGAAUAGGUAAGACUACAAUCGCAAAAGCUGUAUAUAACAAAAUUGUUGAUGGUUUUGAAGGAAGCUCGUUUCUAGAGAAUGUUAAAGAAAGGUCUAGGACAUAUGAUGGCACAAUACAACUACAGAAUAUACUUCUUUCUAAUAUCUUAAGGGAUGGAAAUUUAAAGGUGGACAACAUAUCUAGAGGAAUCAAUGUGAUAAAGGAAAGACUUUGCCAUAAAAGAGUUCUUUUAGUUCUCGAUGAUGUGGAUGAACAGAAGCAAAUAGAAAAUUUGCUUGGAAAAUGUGAUUGGUUAACUCCUGGAAGUAGAAUCUUUAUAACCACAAGAGAUAAAGAUGUGUUACCCACUCUCGAACAAGAUCCUCUAAUCUAUAAGGUUGAUGAAAUGGGCCAAAAUGAAGCUUGUGAACUUUUUAGUUUGUAUGCCUUUCAAAAAAAUGAACCUGAGGAAGCUUACUUGCAACUUACAAAUCAAAUUAUCAAUUAUGCGAAUGGCCUUCCUCUAGCUUUACAAAUAAUAGGUUCUGAUUUGUAUGGAAAAGAUUUCUGUUAUUGGGAAAGUGCAUUAAAGAAGUAUAAAAAGAUUCCCAACAAGGAAAUUCUAGAAAUACUUCAAAUAAGUUACAAAGAAUUGGACCAAAUUGAAAAAGAUAUUUUCCUUGACAUUGCAUUUUUCUUCAACGGGAAAAAGAAAGAUUAUGUUGUAAAGAUAUUAGAGGCAUGUGAUUUAGAACCAAAUUAUGGUAUGUCAAAACUUAUUGACAAGUGUUUGAUAACUAUUGAUUGGUUGGACAAUUUAUCAAUGCAUAACUUGCUACAACAAAUGGGAGAGGAAAUUGUUCGACAAGAAUCACCACAAGCGCCUGGAAAACGAAGUAGGCUACGAGAUUAUGCGAGUGCUUCUACUGUACUAACAGCAAAUACAGGAACGAAUAAAAUUCGAGGCUUAAUGUUGUACCCGCCUAAACCUGUAACAUUGAAACUUCAUGCUCAAGCUUUCAAAAAGAUGCAAACUAUCAAGUUUCUUAUAGUUAAAAAUGUGCAUAUUCAUGGAUGUCUGGAAUGUCUCCCCAACAAUAUGGUGUUGCUGGAUUUGGCUAAUUGUUCUGUUUCCUUGCCAUCCGAUUUUUGUCCUCAACAGCUUGUCUUCCUCAACAUGCCACAUUGUAACAUUAGAAUACAUAAGUUAUUCAAGCAGGUGUUGCGUUUUGAAAAUUUGAAAGAAGUCUCUCUCAGAGGUUGUGAAUCCAUCCAGAAAUUACCUGAGUUGUGGGCUCCAAAUUUAGAGAUAUUAGACCUUUCUAAUUGUACAAAUUUGGUUGAGAUUCAUGAGCCUGUUGGAUUUCUUGAUAAGCUUAAAAGUUGGUACCUUACUAAUUGCAAAAAACUUCAAGCUCUUCCUAGAAGACUUGAGUUCAAAUCUCUUGAACAUUUUCAUCUUGGUUCCUGUGAGUCCAUUGAAGAAUUACCUGAGUUGUGUGCCCCAAAUUUAAAGACAUUAAGUCUUUAUUCUUGUGAAAAUUUAGUUAAAAUUCAUGAGCCUAUUGGACUUCUUGAUAAACUUGAAGAUUGGUAUCUCGGAAAUUGUGGAAAACUUCAAACUCUUCCAAGAAGACUUCCGUUGAAAUCUCUUAGAGAUUUUAAUCUUAGUCGCUGCACAAGCCUUGAGAACUUCCCUGAUAUUGAUUUAGAAAUGAAAUGCUUAUUGGAACUAGAUAUAGAAUGGAGUGGUACUAGAGAAUCGCUUUCCUCAAGAUGCACAAGCGUUGAGAGGAAGUUUCUAGAUAGCAUCUAUAAAUUCCAAAAUAUCAGAGUUUUAGGUAUUUCUACUAACCUACCAAGACCAAGCUGCAAUUCUUUUGAUGGCUGUGUCGGAUAUUCAUUUCCACAGUUAUCACAGCUAACUCUCUUCGGUGAAAAUGUAACUGAAUUAGAUUUUCUGGAGUUCGAUUACUUUCCCGCGUUGACAACGCUAUAUCUACGAAACACCAAUACUAUUACCAUCCCCGAAAGCUUUAUCAAAUUUACUAAAUUAAGAACUCUUUAUAUAUUCGAUUGCAAGCACUUUGAGGAAAUUCAAGGAUUUCCACAAUCUUUAGAUCAUUUGGAGGCUGAAAAUUGCCCAUCAUGGAAUCGAAAAUCAUCAAACAAAAUAUUGAGUCAGGUUUUUGCUAAAAAAAUUGCUAAAUGGAAGCAAGAGGGAGAAAGUCAAGGCGUUUUAGCAGAUAGAGUACAUGAAGGAGAGAGAAAUCAACUGCACUCUGAUGACGAAUCUUCGUAUUCGCUUUACCACCGGAUUGGUUUAUUUAAAGCUCCAGGGUUUGAGAUUCUAGAUGAGUUCAACCACCGAAACGAUGGAAAUUCCAUUUCAUUCUUGGUUGGUCGUAAUUCCAGAUGCAUUCCUAUUGCUAUUUGUGUUACCUUUGUUCCGACAAAUGAAUCUUUUAGUUAUGCGGUUUACUUUGUCGUCAAUGGUUGUUCAAAAUAUCAGUGUAGUGGGGUUUUCCUUGAAGGAAGUGAAUCUUGUCGUAUGUGGUUUAUUUCUGAAUCUAUGUACGAAUGGGAGAAGAAGUUGAGGGACUCAAAUCUAUCUAAACAGAGUCAUUUUGAGGUUAUCUGUCGCAUCAGUAGGUACAGAGGUUUAGGUUACAGAAAGCCAAUGAAUCCUAUGGCUAUCCCAAAAAAGUUGGGGGUCGAUGUAGAAUGCAUCUGUUGUCCUCAUAAAUCUUCCAUCCCUGAUUCCCUGCCUUUACUACCUCUGUUCCCCACGUCUUGCAAUGAAGCAGAUUCAGGGCAUGCAAUUGCAAUGGAAACAACAAAUACUAAUGUGUUUGAAUAUGAUUCGACAAGAUUUCAUGGUUAUUUGAAUGUGUCAUUUUCGUUCCCUAUUGACCCCGAGGUCCACCCUUUAAUACCACUUCCUUAUUCCUCAAAUAUGGAUCAUGAGGCUUUCGAAACUGUAAGUGAUUUGGGGCAUUUGAAGGACUUUCGCAAUGAUGGGUAUGAUUUGAGCUUGUCACUAAAUGACUCAGAUGCAAGUGAACGAGAGCCUCCUCAGGUACCUGAUACAUCUAAUGGGUCUAAUUUUGGAUUGGGCCAAAUAGAUUUGGUUGGCUCAACUGUUAGUGGUGGGCUUGAUUUGGGUUCGUCUUCAGUGACCCAUGAAUUUGUGAAUGAUGACUUUGAUUUGUAUUUGUCUCCACCCUCGAAGAAAAAGAGGACAUCUUGAUCAAGCUUUGAAGAAUUAUGCCUCUCUUCCUUCCCCCUGAUUCCCAUCUCCUCCAACUCCAAGUUAGUUCCCUUCACUUUUGUUGAAUCACUCUGUGUCAUCCCUCAUCAAGCAAUAAAUCCCAAUGGAAGAAAGCAAUAACAGAUUUUCAUGUUGUUUGAACCCAUAACCUACAUUAACAUCGAAUACAUCUGAGUCUACUAGCCUCUGCUGUUUCAAAAUGCUAUUGUAAAUGGGAAUGGUCAGGAGGAAGAAAAAUAAGAAGAAUGGUGCGGGUGGUGGUACAAUCAUGGUCCCCUGGUCCUAUGCUGAUGGAGGUUAAGAACGUCCUUCAAACUUAGUUACUGCCUUUAUAUUUCUCUUUUUAAAAAUUUAAAAUUCUGGAGGGUUUUGUAUGAUUGUUGAAGUUGGAAAAGUGAGAUAAAUGGGUUUAUUGAGAUUUGAGGAUCAGUUAAAUGAUGGAGCAUGCAUAUGUUCUUUUCAAGAGAGAAUGUGCUAUCAAUUUGUUGUUAUUUUGAUGUGCAGGUUAUUUUAUUUUCUUGAAUAUAAUUCUUUUGAAGUUCCUCACC